CAGAGGGGCCCCUCUCUGAUAAUCUUCUGGAGGAUUGUGAAAACCCAAUUCUUUUGUAGAUGGAUGAGGAAAAAGGGAAUGGACACAAGAUGCUGUGUUUUAUUAAAGACACAUAGGAAGAAGAGGCAACAGCUUUGCCAAAAACUCUUCCACCAUGGUAUUUGAGAGAAUCAUCUCUUUUCUGCUUCAGGGAGCUGGAAAACCUAAAAAGCUUAUUAUUCUUCAACAGACCCAUGUUGGGAGCGAUCCCUGCCUUCAUGAAUUGUGAUCUGGAAGCCAUAUCCUCGUCUCUCGAAUGUUAUAUUUCUUUUAAACCAUUUUAAUGAGAGAGAGAGAGAAAGAAAGAAAGAAAACAAUUUGGAAAGUUGCCAUACUGAGAAGCAAAGCACCGGUGUUUUCUAUUAUUUUUAUUUCCAAGAAUGCUCGUGGA